AAAAGAUUUAGUCCUAACCUUACCGUUAGUUCUUGCUAGACAUAUACAUGCAAGCAUCCACGCCCCAGUGUAAAUGCCCACAACUUCUUACCAAGACACAAGGAGCGGGCAUCAGGCACACAAACAGUAGCCUAAGACGCCUUGCCCAGCCACACCCCCACGGGUACUCAGCAGUAAUUAACAUUGAGCCAUAAGCGAAAGCUUGACUCAGUUAUAGCAACAUAGGGUUGGUAAAUCUUGUGCCAGCCACCGCGGUCACACAAGAGACCCAAACUAAUCGUACACGGCGUAAAGAGUGGUACCACGCUAUCACAGUAACUAGAGACAAAAUAUCACUAAGCUGUCAUAAGCCCAAGUCACACAUAAGACCACCCCCUCAAAUGACUCUAGCACCCAUGACUGACUAACCCCCACGAAAGCCAGGGCCCAAACUGGGAUUAGAUACCCCACUAUGCCUGGCCCUAAAUUCCGAUGUUUACCGUACAUAAAACAUCCGCCUGAGGACUACGAGCGCAAACGCUUAAAACUCUAAGGACUUGGCGGUGCCCUAAACCCACCUAGAGGAGCCUGUUCUGUAAUCGAUAACCCACGAUACACCCCACCCCUCCUUGCCAAGAGCAGCCUACAUACCGCCGUCGUCAGCUUACCUCCCCUGAGAGGACAACAGUGAGCUCAAUAGCCCCAACCCCGCUAACAAGACAGGUCAAGGUAUAGCCCAUGGAGGGGAAGAAAUGGGCUACAUUUCCUAAAAUAGAAAACACGAAAAGGGAUGUGAAACCCCCUCCCUGGAAGGCGGAUUUAGCAGUAAAGAGGGACAAUAUAUGCCCUCUUUAAGUCGGCCCUGGGGCACGUACAUACCGCCCGUCACCCUCCUCACAUGCCCCCAAUCCUAUCAAUAAUAUGCCCACCAGCUAAAGAUGAGGUAAGUCGUAACAAGGUAAGUGUACCGGAAGGUGCACUUAGCAUAU
rnacentral:ncRNA from 1 species